rnacentral:rRNA from 1 species
UACGUAGGUGGCAAGCGUUGUCCGGAUUUACUGGGCGUAAAGGAUGCGUAGGCGGAUGUUUAAGUGAGAUGUGAAAUACCCGAGCUCAACUUGGGUGCUGCAUUUCAAACUGAAUAUCUAGAGUGCAGGAGAGGAAAGCGGAAUUCCUAGUGUAGCGGUGAAAUGCGUAGAGAUUAGGAAGAACACCAGUGGCGAAGGCGGUUGCCUGGAGCUUUGCUGACGCUGAGGCGCGAAAGCGUGGGGAGCAAACGGG